rnacentral:rRNA from 1 species
GGUUAAGCGACUAAGCGUACACGGUGGAUGCCCUGGCAGUCAGAGGCGAUGAAGGGCGUGCUAAUCUGCGAUAAGCGCCGGUAAGGUGAUAUGAACCGUUAUAACCGGCGAUACCCGAAUGGGGAAACCCAGUGUGACUCGUCACACUAUCAUUAACUGAAUCCAUAGGUUAAUGAGGCGAACCGGGGGAACUGAAACAUCUAAGUACCCCGAGGAAAAGAAAUCAACCGAGAUUCCCCCAGUAGCGGCGAGCGAACGGGGAGGAGCCCAGAGCCUGAAUCAGCAUGUGUGUUAGUGGAAGCGUCUGGAAAGGCGCGCGAUACAGGGUGACAGCCCCGUACACAAAAGCGCAUGUGCUGUGAGCUCGAUGAGUAGGGCGGGACACGUGGUAUCCUGUCUGAAUAUGGGGGGACCAUCCUCCAAGGCUAAAUACUCCUGACUGACCGAUAGUGAACCAGUACCGUGAGGGAAAGGCGAAAAGAACCCCGGCGAGGGGAGUGAAAAAGAACCUGAAACCGUGUACGUACAAGCAGUGGGAGCACCCUUUGGGUGUGACUGCGUACCUUUUGUAUAAUGGGUCAGCGACUUAUAUUCUGUAGCAAGGUUAACCGAAUAGGGGAGCCGGAGGGAAACCGAGUCUUAACCGGGCGUUAAGUUGCAGGGUAUAGACCCGAAACCCGGUGAUCUAGCCAUGGGCAGGUUGAAGGUUGGGUAACACUAACUGGAGGACCGAACCGACUAAUGUUGAAAAAUUAGCGGAUGACCUGUGGCUGGGGGUGAAAGGCCAAUCAAACCGGGAGAUAGCUGGUUCUCCCCGAAAGCUAUUUAGGUAGCGCCUCGUGAAUUCAUCUCCGGGGGUAGAGCACUGUUUCGGCUAGGGGGCCAUCCCGGCUUACCAACCCGAUGCAAACUGCGAAUACCGGAGAAUGUUAUCACGGGAGACACACGGCGGGUGCUAACGUCCGUCGUGAAGAGGGAAACAACCCAGACCGCCAGCUAAGGUCCCAAAGUCAUGGUUAAGUGGGAAACGAUGUGGGAAGGCCCAGACAGCCAGGAUGUUGGCUUAGAAGCAGCCAUCAUUUAAAGAAAGCGUAAUAGCUCACUGGUCGAGUCGGCCUGCGCGGAAGAUGUAACGGGGCUAAACCAUGCACCGAAGCUGCGGCAGCGACACUGUGUGUUGUUGGGUAGGGGAGCGUUCUGUAAGCCUGUGAAGGUGUGUCGUGAGGCAUGCUGGAGGUAUCAGAAGUGCGAAUGCUGACAUAAGUAACGAUAAAGCGGGUGAAAAGCCCGCUCGCCGGAAGACCAAGGGUUCCUGUCCAACGUUAAUCGGGGCAGGGUGAGUCGACCCCUAAGGCGAGGCCGAAAGGCGUAGUCGAUGGGAAACGGGUUAAUAUUCCCGUACUUGGUGUUACUGCGAAGGGGGGACGGAGAAGGCUAUGUUGGCCGGGCGACGGUUGUCCCGGUUUAAGCGUGUAGGCUGGUUUUCCAGGCAAAUCCGGAAAAUCAAGGCUGAGGCGUGAUGACGAGGCACUACGGUGCUGAAGCAACAAAUGCCCUGCUUCCAGGAAAAGCCUCUAAGCAUCAGGUAACAUCAAAUCGUACCCCAAACCGACACAGGUGGUCAGGUAGAGAAUACCAAGGCGCUUGAGAGAACUCGGGUGAAGGAACUAGGCAAAAUGGUGCCGUAACUUCGGGAGAAGGCACGCUGACACGUAGGUGAAGUGAUUUACUCAUGGAGCUGAAGUCAGUCGAAGAUACCAGCUGGCUGCAACUGUUUAUUAAAAACACAGCACUGUGCAAACACGAAAGUGGACGUAUACGGUGUGACGCCUGCCCGGUGCCGGAAGGUUAAUUGAUGGGGUCAGCGCAAGCGAAGCUCCUGAUCGAAGCCCCGGUAAACGGCGGCCGUAACUAUAACGGUCCUAAGGUAGCGAAAUUCCUUGUCGGGUAAGUUCCGACCUGCACGAAUGGCGUAAUGAUGGCCAGGCUGUCUCCACCCGAGACUCAGUGAAAUUGAACUCGCUGUGAAGAUGCAGUGUACCCGCGGCAAGACGGAAAGACCCCGUGAACCUUUACUAUAGCUUGACACUGAACAUUGAGCCUUGAUGUGUAGGAUAGGUGGGAGGCUUUGAAGUGUGGACGCCAGUCUGCAUGGAGCCGACCUUGAAAUACCACCCUUUAAUGUUUGAUGUUCUAACGUGGACCCGUUACCCGGGUUGCGGACAGUGUCUGGUGGGUAGUUUGACUGGGGCGGUCUCCUCCUAAAGAGUAACGGAGGAGCACGAAGGUUGGCUAAUCCUGGUCGGACAUCAGGAGGUUAGUGCAAUGGCAUAAGCCAGCUUGACUGCGAGCGUGACGGCGCGAGCAGGUGCGAAAGCAGGUCAUAGUGAUCCGGUGGUUCUGAAUGGAAGGGCCAUCGCUCAACGGAUAAAAGGUACUCCGGGGAUAACAGGCUGAUACCGCCCAAGAGUUCAUAUCGACGGCGGUGUUUGGCACCUCGAUGUCGGCUCAUCACAUCCUGGGGCUGAAGUAGGUCCCAAGGGUAUGGCUGUUCGCCAUUUAAAGUGGUACGCGAGCUGGGUUUAGAACGUCGUGAGACAGUUCGGUCCCUAUCUGCCGUGGGCGCUGGAGAACUGAGGGGGGCUGCUCCUAGUACGAGAGGACCGGAGUGGACGCAUCACUGGUGUUCGGGUUGUCAUGCCAAUGGCACUGCCCGGUAGCUAAAUGCGGAAGAGAUAAGUGCUGAAAGCAUCUAAGCACGAAACUUGCCCCGA